CUUCGCCAUGGCUUCCACACAGCUGCCUCCAUUCAGUACAUAACCUAUAUACUGCAUAACGAUACACAAAGUACAGUAACAUGUCAGCUUUUGAGCAGAAAUUGUUAGCCUUCUGACUGCAGGAGUAUAUCAGCACUCUGCCAGGAAAACAAAACACACCACGCCAAGUAACACAAUGGCUGAGUCAAGGAUAGCACUAAUGAAAAACAGCAUCAAGCAGCAAGUUGUUGGACAAUAACAUUAAAAACCUUUUCUUUUUUCCUGUAAUUUACAAAUACGAGAAGUAUCAGGUUACUUAAAAUUAAGAAGCAUUUUGCUUACUAACAUGAAACAUUACUAAUUUGUAAUGUAUCAUCAUUAACCAGGUAUACAGGUUUCUGUGUCCCUGUGGUUUUUAUGGCACAUGGUGCCUGUUUGGGUAGGUCACUCCUUGGACAGAGGGAAGAUCAGUAAUAGACAAAACCAUUCCUCAGUUUUCCACUGUAUUCCACUCUCCCCUUUAUGAUCUGCCACUCGACAGCCUUGGUUUAACCACGAGAUGGACGUACUUAAAAAAAACCCAACACACAAAACACAGAUACAAUGUGCAUCAACAAAUCAACUGCUUCUGGCCUGCAGUGCAGGAAACAUCCCUGCACCAUAACACAGUGAAAUUCCAGGACCAGAACCAAUUACUACAGCAAUUGUUUUUUGCAUAUUUAAAAUCUAUUACAGUAUCUACAAUUAAAAAAAAAAACAACAACACAACUUAGAGGAACAAGGAAUGAAAGGAGAACAGCCUUAUCGAGUAAGUCUCAUUCUACAUUUUUGGAUGCUGUGACAGUCUGACAAAGCUGAAGGGGACAGGAAAAUAUUGGUGAGAAGGAAGACGAAGCAACAGCUUUACAGAGAAAAGCAUUAAGGAGUCCUCAGAAACAGUAUUGGCAGCAGCUGUUUUACUGAAUGCUCAAAACUAUUGCUGUCUGAAGACAAAAGGCACUGUAUCAUAAAUCCUCUUUGUCAGUGUUACACAGAUAGCCAAAGACAGGAUACCAGGCAAGGACAAUGCUUCAGAGCAGCCUCAACAGCAUGGCCAUCCACAUUCUGACAACUCCAGCCUCCUCCAGCAAGUGCCAAACACACAGCUCACUUACAGCUUUGGAGCAGCAUCAGGUCUUCCUUCCUUUCCCAGGCUGAAUUAUACCCAUAGCUCCCCAUACUUCUGGGAGCUGAGCAGCUUGCUGAGCACUUGUGGUAUAUAUCAUAGAAUUGCCUCACCUCAGGAAGGUGAGCUGAAGUGGCAGGGGUAUCACUAAACAAGUGCACCAAUAAAGUCAAAUUUAAGACAGCUAAACCUAACUUCAUGUUGGAUUUAUAAUCCAAUGUUCUCCACAGAUCUGCACGGUACAGUUUAGCAAAGAGGCUUAGUGAAGAGCUAGGAAUAGCCUUGACAACACAUUUCAGUCCUCAGAAAUGAGCCUCACACAACUAGAGAUAGUAUGUUUCACAUACAUCUUUUUAUGUUUCACAAGCCCCAUAAAACCCUCCCUCUGUAUACCUGCUAAUAUACCAAGCCAACACAAAGCUUGAGUUAACGGGAGGAAUAAGGCCAUACACAGUUCUGAACUGCAGGAAUUUAGGGUGUGCCUAACUCACCAUGUAAAUCCCAUAGGAAAGGCUGCUCUGAAACAGCAGCCUUUUCUCCUGUCCAGCACCCAGAUUCUCUUCAGCAUCCUUUGAGGAUGACAGGGACCAUAACCUGCUCUCACAUCUUUAAGAGGGACACACUGUCAUGACUAGACCAGAAAUCACUGUGAGCAUGCCACAUCUGGUACCCAGCCUCCAGCUGGAGCCUGGGACUUGCAGGGAACAAGGAGGAGCCCUCAAAAGGCAGAUGCCAUCUACGGCAGCUACAGAGUGCAAACACUGCCCACAAGCUUAGCAUGCUGGCUACCCUUGGCAUCUGCUUCAUAUACCUGGGUUCUGGGAUUUGUAGGUUAGUAUCUCUGCAGCUAGCUUUUGGGGAUCCAAAAGCUGAGGGAAACGGUUCAUCACAGCAUCAACUAAAUGGGGAUGGAAUAUGCCACACAGUUUGACAUGAAUGUUGGCCCUCUCCUCUGCAAACUGAUCAGAGACAUUCCACUGACAGGAGUCACCAUAUGUUGGCCCUGGGGCUCUCUGCACUGAGUGAGGAUCUCGAACGCUGGUAGAUCUCACCUGGGGAGGAGGCAUCUGGUAGGGCUCAGACCAGUACUCACGAGAAUGAAGUGAAGGAAGAGAAGGGGCAUUAUACUCACUGGGGAGACUGUACUGCCCAGCAUUAGCUGGAUGGACAGGUACUCCAUAGCCUGAGAAAGAGUGAGGUGGCCCUGAGUGAGGUAUCUCAGGGUUAUACUGCAAGAAGCUAGCACCAGAAGCAGAAGAUUUAUGGGAACCAUGCUUGUAAGAGACCAGACCAUUUUGCUCUAAGCUAGGAGAGUGUGGGUAGACAGGUCUCUGCCUACCACAGGUGCAGACUGUCACCUGCUCAGCAUGGGAGUGAUCACAGUGACUGGUAGAUCUGUAAGGCCACAUGUCAGACAAUUGGUUCUCCAGAGACCCAAUGCCUGAGUCAAGAUGCUCCUGAGAGAUGUAAGACAGAGAGUCCAUAUGAGGAUGCUGGUACCUUUCAGAGGACCUGUGGCUCCCACUGUUAGCAGGAACACUGCCUGACACACAGCCUUUGAUCUGAAGUGGAACAUCACUGGGCUUUGUUUUAUGUGUCAAGCUUUUCCUCUCUGCAGAGAUCUUCUGCAAAGAGCUUUUAUCACUCUCUGUGGGCACAGAGCACAAGAGCUCUGCCUGGGAACCUCUUUUGCCCUUUUUCUCCUCCUUGACAGCACUGGUACUUCUGGUAGGAGACAAUCUUGCAUUGGCUCGGAGUUCAUCAGCUAAUGAGCGCUGGGGCUGAUUGAUCCUUUCAGGGUGGUAGAAUUUACACUUAAUUCCAU
rnacentral:lncRNA from 1 species